CCUGCCGGACCUGACUGCUAUCGGAUUGAUACUAAGCCAUGCGAGUCAUUGCAGUAAUGCAAGGCAGACGGCUCAGUAACGCGUAGUCAACCUACCCUAUGGACGGGAAUAACCUCGGGAAACUGAGUAUAAUGCCCGAUAGAACACUAUACCUGGAAUGGUUUGUGUUCCAAAUGAAUGUCGCCGUAGGAUGGGACUGCGGCCUAUCAGUUUGUUGGUGAGGUAAUGGCCCACCAAGACUAUUACAGGUACGGGCUCUGAGAGGAGUAGCCCGGAGAUGGGUACUGAGACACGGACCCAGGCCCUAUGGGGCGCAGCAGGCGAGAAAACUUUGCAAUGUGCGAAAGCACGACAAGGUUAAUCCGAGUGGUUUGUGCUAAACGAACCUUUUGACAGUCCUAGAAACACUGUUGAAUAAGGGGUGGGCAAGUUCUGGUGUCAGCCGCCGCGGUAAAACCAGCACCUCAAGUGGUCAGGAUGAUUAUUGGGCCUAAAGCAUCCGUAGCCGGCUCUGUAAGUUUUCGGUUAAAUCUGUACGCUCAACGUACAGGCUGCCGGGAAUACUGCAGAGCUAGGGAGUGGGAGAGGUAGACGGUACUCGGUAGGAAGGGGUAAAAUCCUUUGAUCUAUUGAUGACCACCUGUGGCGAAGGCGGUCUACCAGAACACGUCCGACGGUGAGGGAUGAAAGCUGGGGGAGCAAACCGGAUUAGAUACCCGGGUAGUCCCAGCUGUAAACUAUGCAAACUCAGUGAUGCAUUGGCUUGUGGCCAAUGCAGUGCUGCAGGGAAGCCGUUAAGUUUGCCGCCUGGGAAGUACGUACGCAAGUAUGAAACUU
rnacentral:rRNA from 1 species